rnacentral:rRNA from 1 species
AUUGGACUACCGUGGCAGUGACGGGUAACGGGGAAUUAGGGUACGAUUCCGGAGAGGGAGCCUGAGAAACGGCUACCACAUCUAAGGAAGGCAGCAGGCGCGCAAAUUACCCAAUCCUGACUCAGGGAGGUAGUGACAAGAAAUAACAACACUGGAAAUUUUAUUUCUAGUGAUUGGAAUGAUGGGAAUUUAAACCCCUUUCAGAGUAACAAUUGGAGGGCAAGUCUGGUGCCAGCAGCCGCGGUAAUUCCAGCUCCAAUAGCGUAUAUUAAAGUUGUUGCAGUUAAAAAGCUCGUAGUUGGAUGUCUGCUGGAAGCAAUCGGUCCGCCCUAUUUGUAGGGUGUGCACUUGAUGAAUUCUGGCAUCUCUAUCCUGAUAAUGAUGCGCGGUGGGGGUUCUCUCUUCCGCGAUAUCAUUUUGGGAUACUGUUACUUUGAGAAAAUUAGAGUGUUUGAAGCAGGCUAAUUGCCUUGAAUACUGCAGCAUGGAAUAACAAUAUAGGAUUUCGGUUCUAUUUUGUUGGUUUCUAGGACUGAAAUAAUGAUUAAUAGGGACAGUAGGGGGCAAUCGUA